GCCAGGCCCGGCCCGGUGCUCGGCGGCCGCCUGCGCACGGUGAGAGGGGCGGUGCUGCACAGCGAGGGAGGGACGGAGCGGGGCGGAGGGGAGGGACGGGAAAGCGGCGGGACGGCGGCGGGGGGCGCUGCUGGGACCGGCCCGGGGAGAGCGAUGUGGUGGCGGAGGGUCUGGGAUGAGAGAAAUGUCUGAGAGGCAGGCGGGAGAGGGCUGAGGGGACCGGGCUGCAGCUGAGGGGAGUUUCUGAGGGACAGGCAGUAAGGAGUUGAGGGGAGAUUCUGAGGGGUAGGCGGGAGUGAGCUGAGGGGAAGUUCUGAGGGAGAGAUGUGAAAAAGCUGAGGGGAAUUUCUGAGGAAUAGGUAGGAGUGAGUUGAAGGAACUGGGGCUUAAGCCCGGGGAAGUUUUGAGGGACAGGCAGGAGCGAGCUGAGGGAGUUUGUGAGGGACAGGUAGUAAGGAGCUAAGGGAGUCUGUGAGGGGCAGGCUGGAGCAAGCUGAGGGGAAAUUCUGAGGGAGAGGGGUCUGGAGGCACUGGGAGACUGGAAAGGCUCCAGAGAAGAACAAGAAGAGGUUAUCUUGCUAUGCUAAACUGUAGUCCUGCAUAAAUGCACGUGUGUGAACCUCCAUGGCCGUUCGUGGCAUCUCCCAGGAGCAGCCCCAGUCCUGAUUCCUCAUUCCAGUACGUAGUGUGUGCUGCUGAGGAAGUGCAAGGCACCGCUGUGAGGAGUGUCCCCACCUGUUGGACCAGCAAGUGCAGCUCUGCAGGAAGGAAAUUGCAGCCAUAGGAUGCGAUUUGUUCCCUGCCUGAUAUCUCUUCGGGCAUCCAGUGUCACUGAGCAACCCCAAAAAGCAGCAGUGGUGCAGUCGAUCUGACAGUACAAGGGCAGAUCCUCUGGACGGUAGAGGAUGCUAGAGAAGAGGUAGAUUUUCCAUCGUGCUUUUCUCUGUUAGCAUCUCUCGGUCUUGCCUGGCAUCAGCGCUAGCCAGCGUCUCUGUGUUUGCUUACAGCUGCAUGCCCCUGCAAAUGGAUGCAUGCGUGGAGUUGCAAACCGAGGCACCUUGAAACGGGUCCAGAAGUUUGCAUGAUCUCCCACUGAGCACAUCCGAGGAGUUUGAUAGGUUUCUGCUCUCGACAUCCCGUUCUUUCAGCUGCAGGAGGCAGGGACCCUUGGUUUUUUCUCACCUACCCUCUGCUGAGCUGCCAAGUGUUCCAGCCUCAGCUAGAGAGUUUGCUUCCUCAUUUCCACAUGCACAGCUCGCGUGCAACCUUGGGAUGCCAGAGCGUCAGUCUGAUUCUUUGUCCUUUGAGUCUAUUUACAGUGUUUUCAUUGAACAGGACAAGGAAAAAUAAAUAAAUAAAAUCACAGAACA
rnacentral:lncRNA from 1 species